GACGAACGCUGGCGGCGUGCUUAACACAUGCAAGUCGAACGAUGAAGAAGAGAAACGCGAACUUCGGUUCAAAUUUCACUUCGGAUUAGUGGCAGACGGGUGAGUAACGCGUGAGCAACCUACCUCUUACAAAGGGAUAGCCUCGGGAAACCGUGAUUAAUACCAUAUGACACAUUCAUAAGGCAUCUUAAGAAUGUUAAAGCUACGGCGGUAAGAGAUGGGCUCGCGUCCCAUUAGCUAGUUGGCGAGGUAACGGCCCACCAAGGCGACGAUGGGUAACCGGCCUGAGAGGGUGAACGGUCACAUUGGAACUGAGACACGGUCCAAACUCCUACGGGAGGCAGCAGUGGGGAAUAUUGCACAAUGGAGGGAACUCUGAUGCAGCGACGCCGCGUGAGCGAUGAAGGAAUUCGUUUCGUAAAGCUCUGUUCUAUGGGAAGAAAAGGACUGUACCAUAGGAGAAAGCCCCGGCUAAAUACGUG
rnacentral:rRNA from 1 species